rnacentral:hammerhead_ribozyme from 1 species
AUCCCGAACUGAUGAGUUUCAAAUAGGACGAAACAUGCGUCCUGGAU